rnacentral:lncRNA from 1 species
CACAGCUUGCCACCUGUGGGAUGAACAGCAGUGUCCGUUCCGUGCUGUGGACAUGGGGUAGAGAUAACAUCAGGGAGACAGUGGAGCUGGCUGAUGGGUCCACUAGUGAGCGUUCCUUCCUCUCUUGUUCCCCCUCCACACCCUGAGCAGUAGAUGAUUACAAUCAGGGGGAAAUUUAUCUUGAAGAGCAAUGCCUGGGUUGGAGAACAAAAAGCUUGUCUGAAGGUCAGGAUUGUGCUGAAGACGGGGCAGUGAAGAAGGGAUGUGUGUGUAUGUGUGUGUGUGUGUGUGUAGGAGACAGUGAUGAAACAAACUCAGAUUAUGAUUCAGGGGUCUUUCUACCUUGUCCUGGGCCAUGUCCUUGCCCUCCUUAAAUCUAACAAGAGUGCCAUAUGCUAGGGCCUCCCACAAGAUCCACAUUUCUGGGCAACGUGAAGGUGUGAGGAAAAUGAGCUGAGGGACAUCUGGGGAGCAUGGCACAGUGAGAAACAACAUGCGAAGCAAGCAGAGAAUGAGGGCUCACCAAAUGCUUUUGUGCUCAUCUGCCACGUUCCAGCCUCCCUUGCAGUUGGUUUGGGGCCACUUGGCUAGUUCUAGCUAAUGGGAUGUGUGUAGAAGUGAGUUCUCUGUGUUUUAUUUUUGUUUUUGCUACUAUUUUUGUGACUUGCAGUGAAGAACUUUAAGACAGUGCAGUUGUAAUGUGAAGUAGUCUGGGUCACAGUUGCUAGAGAGCAAGGAAAGCCAUGCAACUGUGAGUGAGAAAUAAAAAUUUGUUGUGUGAGCCACUGAAAUUUCCAGGAUUGCUCAUUACUGCAGCAUAUCUUGCCCGUCCUGUCGUAUUGCUGUAGGAACCAGAAAUAAUCACAUAGACCAAGAAUUUAAAAUAAGCACAAAAAGAACUUCAAAGAAGUGAUUGGAUAUUUGUGAUGAUGCAGAGAUAAGAAGUUAUAAAGGACCACAUGCUGGAGAUAUUGAUUAUAUUAAAAAUAAUGGUUAAAAUCGACCUGAGAGAUGGGAUACAUAGUGGAAAGUGUAUACAGUAGUUGAAGAAUUGAUUAAUGAGCUGCAAUAUCAGAUCAAGAAACAACCCCGGAAGGCAACACAGUGUGGACAGAAAAUGAGGGGGAAAAGUUAAAACAAAACAAAACGGAAGAGGGGCAAUACAGGUGAUUUAUGAUCAUGAACUAUGAAUUGACUACAAGGAACUUUACAAAAAAUGGAGAAAAGAGAAAGUAAACACAGAACUGGCCUCAUGAGAUCUAUGUUCUGGCCCUGACUCUGGUGCUAGCUUGCUGUGUAUCUUGGGCAAAUCAUUCAGCCCUCUGAAGCUUCAUGUCCUUAACCUACAAACUCCUAAAGAGUAAGAGUGGUUUGGUAGAAAGAGUUAGAUGGCCUGGGACUGAAUCUUUUUUUUUUUUUUGGCAGGGUCUCACUGUUGCCCGGGCUGGAGUGCUGUGGCGUGAUCAUGGCUUGUGGCUCACCAGUCUCAAUCUCCUCAGGCUCAGAGAUGAGGUCUUGAACUCCUGGGCUUAAGAAAUCCACCCACCUCAGCCUCCCAAAGUGAUCACAGGCAUGAGCCACCUCUCCUGGCCCUGGGAAUAAAUCUUAACUUUGUCACUACCUUGGUCUACUUCUGACUCUCUUAGAAUAUUAAUUUCUUUUAUGUCAACUAAAGGUAAUAUACCUAUCUAGUAUGUUCCUGGCACACAGCAGAUACCUCACUAUACUUCCCAUUUCCUUCAUUUUAGGAAAAUUCUAAGACUAAAAUUAAGAUUCUUGUUCAACACAGUACCCUCACAGGUGAAGACACUGAAAAAAUAGAGAAGUAAAUAACUGGCACAAAGCAUAUUCACCAAGGAGAUGUCUGCCUCGUGACUGGUAUUCAAUUCUCUUGAUGUGGAAAUUGUUGAUCCCCCCAACAAUCACUUCUUGCUGUCUUGUGAAGCUAAAGCUUAGUCAUAAGAAGAAUCUAUCUUCUUUUGUGGAAAUCUUAUUUCUUAUAAAUUAUUCAGUCUCUCAUUCAGCCUAAUGAAGUAGUUGAAUUUCACAGAAACCGAGUGAGAGGUGAGUGGUUGCUCCAGAACAGCAGAAAAGCUAGUGGCAGUGGCUUGGAACACACCUUUCCUCAACACGAAGCCAAGGGUCAAAUGAAAGAAAAAAUGUGAAUACAUUUAUAUGUCUGGCCAGUGAUUAAAAAAAUGUUGCUCUUUUUAAUAUCUCAUCAACAUCAAUGAUUACAUUCUUUUCUGGUGCAAAUGUAGUAAGUGGUUAAUUUGAAAGUAUAAAAAUGUGUAAGGAAGAAAAAUAACCAAGAGUGAUACCAUUUAAACGAUAUUACUUAGCGCUGGUAUAUUUCUUUCUAUUUUCUUUUCCAUUAAGAUAUUUACCAAGCACAUUUGAAUGUAUAAUUUUAUAUUUUGCCAUUUAUCCUUAACAUUAUAACAGAGGCACACAAGGCGUUUUGCAUCUUGUUUUUUUUCCAUUUAUUGUGAUAUCUUUGACAUCUUGUCACAUUGGCAUAUGUAGACUUACCUCAUUCUUUUUAAUAGCUGUAUGGUAUGAACAUAACACAGUUUUUUUAAUGAACACAAUGUUAUUUCAUAGUCUUCUUUACCAUUGAGAUAUUUACCAAGCAUAUUUAAAUAUUUAAUUUUAUAUUUUUCCAUUUAUCCUUGAC